CCUACGGGAGGCUGCAGUAGGGAAUAUUGCUCAAUGGGGGAAACCCUGACGCAGCAACGCCGCGUGGAGGAUGAAGGUUUUCGGAUUGUAAACUCCUUUUGUUAGAGAAGAUAAUGACGGUAUCUAACGAAUAAGCACCGUCUAACUCCGUGCCAGCAGCCGCGGUAAUACGGAGGGUGCAAGCGUUACUCGGAAUCACUGGGCGUAAAGCGCGCGUAGGCGGGAUAGCAAGUCAGAUGUGAAAUCCUAUGGCUUAACCAUAGAACUGCAUUUGAAACUGUUAUUCUAGAGUAUGGGAGAGGUAGGUGGAAUUCUUGGUGUAGGGGUAAAAUCCGUAGAGAUCAAGAGGAAUACUCAUUGCGAAGGCGACCUGCUAGAACAUAACUGACGCUGAUGCGCGAAAGCGUGGGGAGCAAACAGGAUUAGAUACCCGUGUAGUC
rnacentral:rRNA from 1 species